rnacentral:rRNA from 1 species
AUUGAACGCUGGCGGCAUGCCUUACACAUGCAAGUCGAACGGUAACAGGUCUUCGGAUGCUGACGAGUGGCGAACGGGUGAGUAAUACAUCGGAACGUGCCUAGUAGUGGGGGAUAACUACUCGAAAGAGUGGCUAAUACCGCAUGAGAUCUACGGAUGAAAGCAGGGGAUCGCAAGACCUUGUGCUACUAGAGCGGCCGAUGGCAGAUUAGGUAGUUGGUGGGAUAAAAGCUUACAAAGCCGACGAUCUGUAGCUGGUCUGAGAGGACGAUCAGCCACACGGGGACUGAGACACGGCCCAGACUCCUACGGGAGGCAGCAGUGGGGAAUUUUGGCCAAUGGGCGAAAGCCUGAUCCAGAAAUGCCGCGUGCAGGAUGAAGGCCUUCGGGUUGUAAACUGCUUUUGUACGGAACGAAAAGCCCCGGGUUAAUACCCUGGGGUCAUGACGGUACCGUAAGAAUAAGCACCGGCUAACUACGUGCCAGCAGCCGCCGUAA